rnacentral:rRNA from 1 species
AUGAAUGAUGAGGUUAUGUCCCUAUGUAUCGAGAUGAACAACGUAGCAUCCCGUGCAGCAAGUGGUACUAAUCUGAAGAAAUACAUGUUCUCAGUCCACGCGGGGAUCUUACUAAAACAAGACCCAACAACCUUCCAACCAGCAAAACUCAUACCCGAGCUUGAAAGGGCUAUGACAAAGUUCAAGGCGAAUAAAUAUGACCUUCUUUUUGUCACAAUUGUUCAUGAAAAGCAUUGGAUAAUUGUUUGCGCAAACUUGCUAUACAAGCAGUGGAAUGUAUUUGACUCAAUCCAUUCAAAAGGGAAACAAUCUCCUUUGAAGAAGCAGGCCAAUAACCUGAUAGGCUCAUGCUCUCUAUUUUUAUUUUUUCUGUUUCCCUUUGAUUCAUCUACAUAA